UAAUAUUCACUAACCCUAACCCUAAAGACCCAACCAAAACGGUGCCUCACCCCUCUCACACCCUCUGUCCGCCCCCAACCACACCCUAAGGUCGCCCGAGCUCCCCUCAAAUUCCUUCCACGUCAUCUGAAUCCAUAACAAACUCUGACAAUCGAAUCUUCUUCAACCUCCCCACGUGUUUUUUCUAUUUUGUUUUGGACGAAUUUGGAUAAAUGGGAGUUCGUAGGAUCUAUGGAGAUGAAGAUCCUAGGCUUCCAUUUGUCCCAUUUUGGUUCGAAAGGGAAAAAUUCAGAUUUGAGGAGGAUUUUCGGAUUUUUGGAGAAGCUUCUAGGCUUGGGUAUAAGAGGAGUUUCUUUGGACAGAAAUUGAAGAGAGAAAAAUCGAGAGGCGGAAGUUCUAGGGCUGAGAGAUAGCUUUCCUUUUUCUCUGAUUUUUGAAUUGAAGUCAUCGGUCCGUUUAUAAAAUUAGAAAAAGAGAGCAAGAUUUUUGGCUUUUCUUUCUUUGAUUUUGAGUUUUCCAGAAAAAGAAAAAAUAUACAAAAAUGUUUCUAUUCCCUCUUUCCAACUUCGAUUUUGAUUCUUAACCAUGGAAUUUGAUUGAGGUUUUCCGUGGAGUCGAAGUUUGUUCGAGGCCGAGUUCGUGGAUUUUGGAUCCUGUCGCAUUCUCAGCUGCUGUUACUUCCAAUUUCAGUGCCGGAUUCAUUUGUAUUCGAUUCCAAACAAACUUAAUUGAAGAGUUUCGCAGUUUCAGCUGUAAAUUUCAAUCAAACCUUUUAAGGGUCAUAACAACAGCAAAAAUUCAAGAAUCAGCGGAUCAAAGGAGUGUUAUAUGCCUAGCUUCCAAGCAAUGGAAGCUACAAUCUGCCAAAAACAGAGAAUUUAAUGUUCAAAAAUUUGUUAUGUAAAAUGAAUCAUCAAUAUAAAUUGAGAAAGCAGUUCAAACACAUGUAACAAGGCUACCUCAGAAAAAACAUGAUAGAAUUGCAAACUAUCAUUAAUCUUA